rnacentral:lncRNA from 1 species
GAAGGCAUAAGAAUGAUACAAUGGACUUUGGGGACUUGAAGAGUGGGAGGGGGGCAAGGGAUAAAAGACUACAAAUGUGUAUCCAGGGUUAAGAACCAUUGCAUCUUAAGAAUAACAUAUUUCAAGCCUGGGUAACAUAGUGAGACCUCGUCUCUACUAAAAAUAAAAAUUUAGUUGGGCGUAGUUGCCUGCGCCUAUAAUCCUAGCUACUCGAGAGUCUGAGGUGGGAGAAAAAAAAACUGUGCUAAUUAUAAUUUUAGAGGGCCAAUGCUGAAGGUCCUAA